CAGUCGCCACGGGAAUACGGAGGGUGCAAGCGUUAAUCGGAAUUACUGGGCGUAAAGCGUGCGUAGGCGGUUAUAUAAGACAGAUGUGAAAUCCCCGGGCUCAACCUGGGACCUGCAUUUGUGACUGUAUAGCUAGAGUACGGUAGAGGGGGAUGGAAUUCCGCGUGUAGCAGUGAAAUGCGUAGAUAUGCGGAGGAACACCGAUGGCGAAGGCAAUCCCCUGGACCGGUACUGACGCUCAUGCACGAAAGCGUGGGGAGCAAACAGGAUUAGAUACCCGAGUAGUCCCUGUCUCUUAUAC
rnacentral:rRNA from 1 species